ensembl:lncRNA
GCAAAGCAAAAGUACCUUUGCAGCUGAACGUGACCGGUGAAAGGAAGUGGAAGCUUUGGCCCAACGUGGCUCCUCGGGGACACCUGGCAGGCUGGGAGGACAGUGGGUGACAGCUGCUGAGGGGAGCCCAGCGUCCACUCCGUCCACUCCGAGGGCCCCGAGCGAGACACGCCCUGCUGGGGUGUGAGGAGAGAGGCAGGAGGGAGGGCAGUUCUUGGAUGAGUGGUGCCUGAGCAAUCUCCUUUCCUUCAAUACUUUGAGGGCUCAGAGGAAAAAACAAUUAGAUAAGCAUCUUUAUUUUCCUUUAGGUAAAAUCUUGCUCAUUUUAGCAAAAUUGCAUUUAAUAUCGAGAGGGCUUUUGUGGGAGAAAGAUUAAUCAGAGGAAACUCUCCAGUUGAAGGAAAAGCUCCUGCUGUGGUCUUUGAAGAUGUUUUAAUUUUAUGAAAUCAAAGGAACAGAACUCUCAGGCACAUGUUAAACUUGUCUCCAUGCUCUCGAAAGCAUCUCCUAGACUUGGUAUUAAUUGGUGGGUGUCUGGUUUCCUGGCAGAUCAGGAACGCAGGGCAGCCCCCAACCUUAUCUCUUCUAGAGGAUGGUUCUGUGGGUUUCGAGAAGGACGCGGAAAUAAGUCUUCCGUGUUCCGAUGGGACAGCAGUGAAUAUAAUUUUGGCUAAUUCCCUGGAGCCAUUAGAAUCUUCAGCUGUGCCUCCCAAGACUGUCACCUUCUUUCCAGGGCCAGAUGUUGCCAAGUCCAGGGUAACAACAACUGACAUAUGAAUAGGGUUGCCUGGGACUGAGGGAGGGGGAGGGGGAGCUGGUGUUUAAUGGGGGCAGAGUUUCCAUCUGGGAAGAUGAAAAGCCCUGGAGACGGAUGGUGGUGAUGGUUGCUUCGUACUGCUGAAUUGCACACGCUAAAGAUAGUUAAUAUCUUGUGAGUAUUUUGCCACAAUUAAAAAAAAUUUAAUUCCCUUAAAAAG